rnacentral:rRNA from 1 species
CAAUAGCGUAUAUUAAAGUUGUUGCAGUUAAAAAGCUCGUAGUUGGAUUUGUGGUGUGUCCAGUCGGCCUUUGCUCUCUGAGUGAUUGUGCUGUACUGGUCUGCCAUGUUUGGGUGGAAUCUGUGUGGCAUUAAGUUGUCGUGCAGGGGAUGCCCAUCGUUUACUGUGAAAAAAUUAGAGUGUUCAAAGCAGGCUUAUGCCGUUGAAUAUAUUAGCAUGGAAUAAUGAUAUAGGACCUUGGUACUAUUUUGUUGGUUUGCGCACUAAGGUAAUGAUUAAGAGGGACAGUUGGGGGUAUUUGUAUUCCAUUGUCAGAGGUGAAAUUCUUAGAUCUUUGAAAGACAAACUACUGCGAAAGCAUUUACCAAGGAUGUUUNCAUUA